rnacentral:rRNA from 1 species
GGAUAACCUGCCCUAUCGUCUGGAAUAACCUCGGGAAACUGAGAAUAAGGCCGGAUAGUUCACAAAGCCUGGAACGGUUUGUGAAUCAAGGUAGGAUGGGUCUGCGGCGUAUCAGGUAGUAGGGGGUGUAAAGGACCCCCUAGCCUUCGACGCGUACGGGUGUUGGGAGACAUAGCCCGGAGAUGGAUUCUGAGACACGAAUCCAGACCCUACGGGGUGCAGCAGGCGCGAAAACUUCACACUGCAGGAAACUGUGAUGAGGGAACUCCAAGUGUGUGCACUAUGUGUACACUUUUAUGAACUUUUAAUCGGUUCAGGAAUAAGGGCUGGGAAAGACCGGUGCCAGCCGCCGCGGUAAUACCGGCAGCUCAAGUGGUCGUCGCUUUUAUUGGGCCUAAAACGUCCGUAGCCUGUUUGGUAAAUCUGUGGGUAAAUCAACUCGCUCAACGAGUUGAAUUCUGCAGAGACUGCCAGACUAGGGACCGGGAGAGGUGUGGGGUACUCGAGGGGUAGGGGUAAAAUCCUGUCAUCCUUCGAGGACCACCAGUUGCGAAGGCGCCACACUGGAACGGAUCCGACGGUCAGGGACGAAGCCUAGGGGCACGAACCGGAUUAGAUACCCGGGUAGUCCUAGGUGUAAACGCUGUGAACUUGGUGUCGGGGGUCCGCAAGGGGUCCCCGGUGCCGGAGUGAAGAUGUUAAGUUCACUGCCUGGGGAGUACGGUCGCAAGGCUGAAACUU